UACAGAGGUCUCAAGCGUUGUUCGGAUUCAUUGGGCGUAAAGGGUGCGUAGGCGGCGCGGUAAGUCGGAUGUGAAAUCUCGGAGCUUAACUCCGAAACUGCAUUCGAUACUGCCGUGCUUGAGGACUGGAGAGGAGACUGGAAUUUACGGUGUAGCGGUGAAAUGCGUAGAUAUCGUAAGGAAGACCAGUGGCGAAGGCGGGUCUCUGGACAGUUCCUGACGCUGAGGCACGAAGGCCAGGGGGAGCAAACGGG
rnacentral:rRNA from 1 species